UGGUUGUCUUUGAGCAGAGUCCCAGGA
rnacentral:piRNA from 1 species